AUGAGUGAGAUGCAGUACAUUAAAACAAACUCUGAACAAGUUACUAAAGCUAACAACAGAAGCAAUAGCAAAAGAGCAAUGCAUGCUGGGAGUCUGAACAAACAACAGGUUUCCUUGGAUUCAGGAAAGAAAAGAGAGAAAGUGUUCACUGUAUGUACUUGUAAACAUGUUGUAUAUGCACAUGCAUGCAGUGAUUGAUCAUCUCCUCAAAUCAUCUGUAAUACAGUUCCAAACAAACAAGAAGAACACUGACAUGCAGUAAAGUAGUAUAAAUGAGUUGUUUCAUUUUAAUAAGAAAAGCUUAAAAAAAAAAACCCUGUUUUGAAUUAUUAGGACAGGAACUUUAUGAGCUGCUCUAUCCAUUUAUUGUUGUGUGCGAUCUCAUGAAGAAACGGCAGGAUCAUAUUUCACCCUGAAAUCAAAAGAGAAAAAAAUAUUAAAUUAUAUAUUUCAAAAAGAAAAUGAAAAUUAAAAAGUAGAAUACCUGAUGAACAUUCAGCUGAAACAAAAGUGCACUUCCAUAAUGUACUUAAAGUGCACUAUUUUGCAACACUAAUAUUGUACUUAAUAUACUAAAAAAUAUUAUUUAGCACAUCUUAAGAUAAAUUUAUCUAAGUGUACGCAACUGUGCUAUUUUGGGACACCAUGAAUAUGAACAAAAAUUUUUACAGUUUUAACACUAUCUCUGUAUUUAAAAUGUAUUUAGUCAGCACUUGCAGUACACUUGAACCCAUCUUUCAUACUUAAGUGUACUACAAGUGCUGACUGAAUACAGUAGUAUACAAUAGUUAAACUAGGUUUAACUAAUUUUAGUUAUUCAUUUUAAUUUCUAGACAUUCCUAUUUUUCUGGAAAAAAAAACACACACGUUAGUAAACAUUGUCAUUACAGCUUUUGAACCAGAUGAAACAUUAACACACAAUGUUUCUGUGGACAGUGAGGGGUUUGGAGUUUAUUUGUCUUGGAAAUCAUGUAAAAAUCAUAAUGUUAUGGUUUGACAGUCUGUGAGAUUCUCACACACCGGCGGCUCAUCCAGUAUGUCGAUAAGUGGUUUGUCCAGCAGGGGGCUCCACUCAGGGGCCUCAACAGCGUCCAGCAGAAGAGCCAGCUCAGCGUCCAGCUUCUGAAGAGUGUCCUCCACCCGCUGACCAACACACACACACACACACACACACACGAAUAGUCAAUUACUACGAAUUUAGUAGUGAAAAAAAAAAAAAAAAAAAAACACACUACAAGAUGCAAACUUUAGAGUGGAAAUUUUUUUUUUUUUUAAAAAGAGUCGCAAAUUUCCGAUAUGAAUGUAGAAUUUAUAGGGAAAAAGUAAACAAUUUCUAAAAUAUAAACUCAGAAUUUAGUGGACAAAAAAAGUGAAAAACUAAGAUGUAAACCAAAUUGAGGGGAAAAGUGGCAAAAUUAUAAAGUGCAAACUCAGAAUUUAAAGUGAAAAACAUCACACAUUUCCAAAAUUUCAAUCAGUAAUUAGAGGACAAAACAAGUCAUAAAUUUGCAAGAUACAAACUCAGAAUUUUGAGUGGAAAAGUCAAAAACUACAAGAUGCAAAAAGUCACAAAUUUCUGAUAUGAAUGUAAAAUUUAUAGGGAAAAAGUAAACAAUUUCUAAGAUAUAAUCUCAAAAUUUAGAAAGAAAAAAGUUGCAAGAUGUAAACUAAAGAAUUUAGGGGGGAAACAUUUCCACACAUUUUCCAAUAUUUUAUUUAGUAAUUAGAGGCAAAAAAGUCAUACAUCUGCAAAACAAACAAACUUAGUAAUUAGAGGACAAAAAAGUCAUACAUCUGCAAACAAACAAACAAACAAACAAACAAACAAAAAAACUACAAAAUCUAGAUACAUAAUUUAGAGGGGAAAAGUCACAGAUUAGCAAGAGUUUAACAGAAUUUCAAGGAGGGAAAAACAAAAAAAUCCCAAGAUAUAAAUAUAGAAAUCAGAAGGAUAAGUGAUAAAUUUGCAAGAUGCAAACUUAGAAUUUAGAGGGCAAAAAGUCACAAAUUUCUGAUAUAAAUGUAGAAUUUACAGGGAAAAAGUAAACAAUUUCUACGAUAUCUAAAUUUAGAAAGAAAAAAGUUGCAAGAUGUAAACUCCGAAUUCAGAGGGGAAAAGUAAAACAUUUCCAAGAUAUAAAUAUAGAAAUAAGGAUAAAAUUCAUAAAUUUGCAAGAUGUCAAGUCUGAAUUUUGAGUGGAAAAAAGUAAAAAACAAACAAAACAAACAAACAAAAAAAACUACAAGAUGCAUACUUUAGAGGGGAAGAAAAGUCACAAAUUUCCUAUAUAAAAUGUAGAAUUUAUAGGGAAAAAGUAAACGAUUUCUAAGAAAUAAACAAGGAAAGUUGUAAACAGAAUUGAGGGCAAAAGUGGGAAAAAUAUAAAGUGUAAACUCAGAAUUUAGAGGUGGAAAAAACAUCAUAUUUCCAAAAUUGAACUCAGUUAAUUAGAGAAAAAAAAAGAAAAAAAAGAGGGGAAAAGUAAAACAUUUCCAAGAUAUAAAUAUAGAAUUUAUAAGGAUAAAAUUCACAAAUUUCCAAGAUGUGAACUUAGAAUUUGGAAGAAAAUUUUUCCCAAGAUAUAAACAUUGAAAUUAGAAGGAUAAAAGUCAUACAUUUGCAAGAUGUAAACUCCAGAAUUUUUGAGAAAAAAAAAAAAAAAAAAAAAAAAAAAAAAUACUACAAGAUGACAACCUUUAGAGGGAGAAAGUAAAAAUUUCUGACAUAAAUGUAGUAAUUUAUAAGGGAAAAAGUAAACAUUUCUAAGAUAAUAAACUCAGUAAUUUAGAAGGUAGAAUGUAGAAUUUUAUAAGGGAAAAAGUAAAACAAUUCUAAAAAUAUAAACUCAGAAUUUAGUGGACAAAAAAAGUGAAAAACUAAGAUGUAAACCAAAUUGAGGGGAAAAGUGGCAAAAUUAUAAAGUGCAAACUCAGAAUUUAAAGUGAAAAACAUCACACAUUUCCAAAAUUUCAAUCAGUAAUUAGAGGACAAAACAAGUCAUAAAUUUGCAAGAUACAAACUCAGAAUUUUGAGUGGAAAAGUCAAAAACUACAAGAUGCAAAAAGUCACAAAUUUCUGAUAUGAAUGUAAAAUUUAUAGGGAAAAAGUAAACAAUUUCUAAGAUAUAAUCUCAAAAUUUAGAAAGAAAAAAAAGUUGCAAGAUGUAAACUAAAGAAUUUAGGGGGGAAAACAUUUCCACACAUUUCCAAUAUUUUAUUUAGUAAUUAGAGGACAAAAAAGUCAUACAUCUGCAAACAAACAAACAAACAAACAAACAAACAAAAAAAACUACAAAAUCUAGAUACAUAAUUUAGAGGGGAAAAGUCACAGAUUAGCAAGAGUUUAACAGAAUUUCAAGGAGGGAAAAACAAAAAAAAUCCCAAGAUAUAAAUAUAGAAAUCAGAAGGAUAAGUGAUAAAUUUGCAAGAUGCAAACUUAGAAUUUAGAGGGCCUUAGAAUUUAGAGGGCAAAAAGUCACAAAUUUCUGAUAUAAAUGUAGAAAUUUACAGGGAAAAAGUAAACAAUUUCUACGAUAUCUAAAUUUAGAAAGAAAAAAAGUUGCAAGAUGUAAACUCCGAAUUCAGGGGGAAAAGUAAAAACAUUUCCAAGAUAUAAAUAUAGAAAUAAGGAUAAAAAUUCAUAAAUUUGCAAGAUGUCAAGUCUGAAUUUUGAGUGGAAAAAAGUAAAAAAACAAACAAAACAAACAAACAAAAAAAAAACUACAAGAUGCAUACUUUAGAGGGGAAGAAAAGUCACAAAUUUCCUAUAUAAAAUGUAGAAUUUAUAGGGAAAAAGUAAACGAUUUCUAAGAAAUAAACAAGGAAAGUUGUAAACAGAAUUGAGGGCAAAAGUGGGAAAAAUAUAAAGUGUAAACUCAGAAUUUAGAGGUGGAAAAAACAUCAUAUUUCCAAAAUUGAACUCAGUUAAUUAGAGAAAAAAAAAGAAAAAAAAAGAGGGGAAAAGUAAAACAUUUCCAAGAUAUAAAUAUAGAAUUUAUAAGGAUAAAAUUCACAAAUUUCCAAGAUGUGAACUUAGAAUUUGGAAGAAAAUUUUUCCCAAGAUAUAAACAUUGAAAUUAGAAGGAUAAAAGUCAUACAUUUGCAAGAUGUAAACUCGACAUAAAAUGUAGAAUUUAUAGGGAAAAAGUAAACAAUUUCUAAGAUAUAAACUCAGAAUUUAGAGGAAAAAAGUGAAAAACUUGUCACAGUGGAACUACUGAGAGGAGUGCGGAGCGAGGAACGAAGGAGAUGAGGCAUACAUGGAAGGAAAACUCACAUAGCACAGGUUAACAUGAACAAUACCAGACCAAGAACUCAAAACAGGAAACACUUUAAAUACACAACUUAAUCAGGGGAAGACGAGACACACCUGGAAUCAAAUGAAAAACAAUCAGGGAGCAGGAACAGGAAGAUGACCAAAUAAGGGCGAAACACACCCAAAACACGGGACAGAGUCUGACAGUUACAAACUCAGAAGAUAGCGAACAAAAAAGUCAAAAACUAAAAGAUGUAAACAGAAUUGAGAGAAAAAAGAGGGAAAAUUACAAAAGGUAAAAAAUCUGAAUUUAGUGGGGGGAAAAGUAAAACCUGCAAGAUACAAAUGUAAAAUUUAGAUGGAAAAAAGUGACAAAUUUAGAAGAUUUAAUCUCAGAAUAUAGAAGGGAAAAAAAUCACAAAAAGUCAUACAUUUGCAUGAUGUAAUCUCAACAUUUAGAGGACGAAAGGGUCAAUAGAUAAAAGAAGUAAAGUCAGAAUCUCAACAUUUAGAGGACGAAAGGGUCAAUAGAUAAAAGAAGUAAAGUCAGAAUUUAGAAGGGAAAAAGUUUUACAUGUGCUAGAUGUAAACUUGCAACAAAAGAAAAUAGAGGGCACAAAAGUCAAGAAACUACAAGAUAUACACUUUAGAAUUUAGAAGACAAAAAAAGUACAGUAUAUCAGUAUAUCAGGCGAAAAAAAGUCCAACACUAAAAGACAUGAACUUAGAAUUUAGAGGGGAAAGAAGUAAUACAUUUGCAAGAUAUAAACUCAGAAUUCAGAACGGAAAAAUGUCAGAAUGGUGAACUCUUAAUUAACUCUUAAUUAACUUUUUUUUAUUUUUUUUUUUAUUAAAUUUUAGUAAACAGAAUUGAGAGAAAAAGAGGGAAAUUACAAAGGUAAAAUCUGAAUUUAGUGGGGGGAAAGUAAAACCUG
rnacentral:lncRNA from 1 species